AUGUUAGAUUAGCCAUGCAUGUCUCAGUAUAAGCUUCUAUACGGCGAAACUGCGAAUGGCUCAUUAAAACAGUUAUAGUUUAUUUGGUGGUCAGCAAUUACAUGGAUAACCGUGGUAAUUCUAGAGCUAAUACAUGCGCCCAAACCCGACUUCGUGGAAGGGUUGUGUUUAUUAGAUACAGAACCAACCCAGGCUCCGCCUGGCCUUGAGGUGAUUCAUAAUAACCGAACGAAUCGCAUGGCUAUGCCGGCGAUAGACCAUUCAAGUUUCUGACCUAUCAGCUAUCGUCGGUAGGGUAUUGGCCUACCGUGGCAAUGACGGGUAACGGAGAAUUAGGGUUCGAUUCCGGAGAGGGAGCCUGAGAAACGGCUACCACAUCUAAGGAAGGCAGCAGGCGCGCAAAUUACCCAAUCCUGACGCAGGGAGGUAGUGACAAGAAAUAACAAUACAGGGCAUACAUGUCUUGUAAUUGGAAUGAGUAAACUUUAAAUCACUUUACG
rnacentral:rRNA from 1 species